rnacentral:rRNA from 1 species
GACGAACGCUGGCGGCGUGCCUAAUACAUGCCAGUGGAACGCUGAAGAGAGGAGCUUGCUCUUCUUGGAUGAGUUGCGAACGGGUGAGUAACGCGUAGGUAACCUGCCUUGUAGCGGGGGAUAACUAUUGGAAACGAUAGCUAAUACCGCAUAACAAUGGAUGACCCAUGUCAUUUAUUUGAAAGGGGCAAAUGCUCCACUACAAGAUGGACCUGCGUUGUAUUAGCUAGUAGGUGAGGUAACGGCUCACCUAGGCGGCGAUACAUAGCCGACCUGAGAGGGUGAUCGGCCACACUGGGACUGAGACACGGCCCAGACUCCUACGGGAGGCAGCAGUAGGGAAUCUUCGGCAAUGGGGGCAACCCUGACCGAGCAACGCCGCGUGAGUGAAGAAGGGUUUCGGAUCGGAAAGCUCUGUUGUAAGUCAAGAACGAGUGUGAGAGUGGAAAGUUCACACUGUGACGGUAGCUUACCAGAAAGGGACGGCUAACUACGUG